UACGUAGGGCGCAAGCGUUAUCCGGAAUUAUUGGGCGUAAAGAGCUCGUAGGCGGUUUGUCGCGUCUGCCGUGAAAGUCCGGGGCUCAACUCCGGAUCUGCGGUGGGUACGGGCAGACUAGAGUGAUGUAGGGGAGACUGGAAUUCCUGGUGUAGCGGUGAAAUGCGCAGAUAUCAGGAGGAACACCGGUGGCGAAGGCGGAGCUCUGGGCCGUACCUGACACUGAUGCGCGACAGCAUGGGGAGCAAACAGG
rnacentral:rRNA from 1 species